GAACGCUGGCGGCAUGCCUAACACAUGCAAGUCGAACGGAAACGAUGGGAGCUUGCUCCCAGGCGUCGAGUGGCGGACGGGUGAGUAAUACUUAGGAAUCUGCCCAUUAGUGGGGGACAACUAGAAGAAAUUCUAGCUAAUACCGCAUACGCCCUACGGGGGAAAGCGGAGGACCUUUCGGGGCUUCGCGCUAAUGGAUGAGCCUAAGUCGGAUUAGCUUGUUGGUGAGGUAAAGGCUCACCAAGGCGACGAUCCGUAGCUGGUCUGAGAGGACGAUCAGCCACACUGGGACUGAGACACGGCCCAGACUCCUACGGGAGGCAGCAGUGGGGAAUAUUGCACAAUGGGCGCAAGCCUGAUGCAGCAAUGCCGCGUGUGUGAAGAAGGCCUGCGGGUUGUAAAGCACUUUCAGUAGAGAAGAAAAGCCUAGGGAUAAUACCCCUGAGUCUUGACGUUACCUACAGAAGAAGCUCCGGCUAACUCCGUGCCAGCAGCCGCGGUAAUACGGAGGGAGCGAGCGUUAAUCGGAAUUACUGGGCGUAAAGCGCGCGUAGGCGGCUUUGUAAGUCGGAUGUGAAAGCCCUGGGCUUAACCUGGGAAUGGCAUUCGAAACUGCAGAGCUAGAGUAUGGUAGAGGGAAGUGGAAUUUCCGGUGUAGCGGUGAAAUGCGUAGAUAUCGGAAGGAACACCAGUGGCGAAGGCGACUUCCUGGGCCAAUACUGACGCUGAGGUGCGAAAG
rnacentral:rRNA from 1 species